UCCACUGUUACCGCACGGAUCCUCAACUUAUUUUUCUUUAAACCAAUUUAAAUUUGUGGCGUUUAAAUUUUUGGAAAGUCUUUCUGUUAAAGGGAAGUUUUUCCUUCACUGUCACUACAUGAAUCCUCAGUAUGAGGAUUUAGCUGACUUUGCUUUAGUUUUAGUUGGCUUUUAACAAAUUUAAACAACUGGUGCACUGUUAGGUUUUUCUUUGGAAAAUCUUCCUGUUAAAGGGAAGUUUUUUUUUCCUCCACUGCCACCCCAUGGAUCCUUAUUGAGCUUAUUUUUCUUUCAACCAAUGUAAAUAAUUUAAUUGGUGCAGUGUUCAUUUUUGGAAAGUCUUCCUGUUAAAGGGAAGUGUUUUCCUCCACUGUUAUCGCAUGGAUCCACAGCAUAUCUAUGCUGAUUGAGAAUAGUUUUGAGCUCAUGGUUGGGGAAUUUAAGGCCUUAUCAACACCACAUUGCAUACGGACUGAGAAGAUAUGGAAACUGAUCAACCGUGUUUGUUGAGAUGGAGACUCUGAAGACAUGCUAUGGCCUCAAACAUUUGGGUAAUGUGGAUAUCAACAUGAUCCCCAUGGUACUGGACUUGGAACUCAACAGUAUGAAAUGUGGCUUUCUUCUUCCUGUAGCCACUCCUAAGGGAUUUGAAGUCAUCGGAUGAGUUCAAGGAAAUUAAUAACAAGUGUAACGAAGCAGUCAAUCCAUUACACGCAGGAAAAACUUGCAAAAAUGGUAUGUGAAAGGUAUGUGUUCUGAUCAUGGGUAUGGUAACUGGAAUGGAUUUUGGAUUCACUCGACACAGGAAAAACACGGAAGGCCAUAUGAAAUGUAUGUGUUCUGAAUUUGGGUACAGCAAUCAGAACAGAUUUUGAAGACGCAGGAAAAACACGGUAGGCUAUAUGAAAUGCACAUGUUCUGAUUUUGGGUACAGCAAGCAGAACAGAUCUUGGAGACGCAGGAAAAACACGGUAGGCUAUAUGAAAUGCACGUGUUCUGAUUUUGGGUACAGCAAUCAGAACAGAUCUUGGAGACGCAGGAAAAACACGGGAGGCCAUAUGAAAUGUAUGUGUUCUGAUUUUGGGUACAGCAAUCAACAGAUCUUGGAGACGCAGGAAAAAUGCGGUAGGCUAUAUAAAAUGUAUGUGUUGUGAUCUUGGGUACUGUUUGAAAUGCGUGUUGUAAGUUAUAAAUGCAUGUGUAGAAUCCAUUAUCUCUAAAGAUGACGCCCCCGACUACACCUGAGAACGACGGAUGGAAAAUGCCAUCAUUGAUCAACAGAAAAGGCCUCCUUCGCACCCUUGACCUUAGUGGCCCUACCACUGAGAUCAGUAGCCUUUCUCAAGGAAUGCUGAAUCCUCCUGGACUAUCUCAUUUUCAUCUGAUUUCGCACUUAAUCGCCCCUCCAUCGACCAACGGAAAAGUUCUUCAUCAUCCCUUUGAACAUCGGACGGAAGAGGACUUCAUCGGCCCCCCACCUAUUGAUGGAUGACCUUAGUGACCCUACCAUCGGGCUGAGCAGUCUUCCUCGAGAAAUGCUGCAGGAAUCCUCCUGGUUCAUCUCAUUAACGCCCUUCAUCGCCCCUCCAUCGACCGACGGAAAAGUUCUUCAUCAUCCCUUUGCACAUCGAACGGAAGAGGAUUUCAUCGCCCACCCAUUGAUGGAUGACCUCAGUGACCCUUCCAUCGGGCUCUGCAGGUUUUCUGGAGGAUACCCUGUAAGUGUUCCCAUGUAAGCAGGAAUCAUCCUGGAUUAUCUUGUUUACGUCUGAUUUUGGCAUUCAUCGCCAGGCCCAAACCACAGAUUGAAGGACAAUUUUAUUUACGGACUCUUUACGGACUUGAUUUUAUUUGUUGUUUUUUUAUUAGAUAUUUAAAAAUGUCUUCCAGUGUGUUAAAUGUUAGUUACAAUUGAUUGUUUUGAUCUGUUGGAAUAUAUUUUUGCAUUUUUAUGUACCACAUUAUUUAUUUCAACUAUUGUUCU